AUGUUCCUCGGGAGGCAGCAGUAGGGAAUCUUCCACAAUGGGCGAAAGCCUGAUGGAGCAACGCCGCGUGGGUGAAGAAGGUCUUCGGAUCGUAAAACCCUGUUGUUAGAGUAGAAAGUGCGUGAGAGUAACUGUUCACGUUUCGACGGUAUCUAACCAGAAAGCCACGGCUAACUACGUGCCAGCAGCCGCGGUAAUACGUAGGUGGCAAGCGUUAUCCGGAUUUAUUGGGCGUAAAGGGAACGCAGGCGGUCUUUUAAGUCUGAUGUGAAAGCCUUCGGCUUACCCGGAGUAGUGCCUUGGAA
rnacentral:rRNA from 1 species